rnacentral:rRNA from 1 species
UACGAAGGGAGCUAGCGUUGUUCGGAAUCACUGGGCGUAAAGCGCACGUAGGCGGAUGUGUCAGUCAGGGGUGAAAUCCCGGAGCUCAACUUCGGAACUGCCUUUGAUACAGCACGUCUUGAGUCCGAUAGAGGUGGGUGGAAUUCCGAGUGUAGAGGUGAAAUUCGUAGAUAUUCGGAAGAACACCAGUGGCGAAGGCGGCUCACUGGACUGGUAUUGACGCUGAGGUGCGAAAGCGUGGGGAGCAAACAGG